rnacentral:lncRNA from 10 species
UCAGUGUGGAAAGUGAGCCCUGGGAGACCUGAGGCCUGAGGCCCUGGGCUUCCGCUUGACCUGGCUGGGUCAGCCGUGGGAGGCAGAGCCUGGCUCUGUUUAUCCAGGCCGGACACUUCCGGAGCAGAUGGGCGCCUGUCAGAGCCACCAGCCAGGAACUGGGCUGACGUCCUCUCAUUGCCAAGUGGCAGUUCUGGGGCCAGCAUUGAACGCAAGGUGUCAGCAAGUCUCCUGCCAGAGGUCCUGACGGAGGGGCUGUUCCAGGCCAUGCUCCUGGCUUCCGGUGGUUGCCGGCAACCCUGUGCAUUCCCUGCUUGUAGAGAUGAGAAAAUGGAGGUACCAAAAAGUGGGCUCUGAACUGCAGAGCCUGGCUCCAGAGCCCUUGUAUUUGACUACUGGGAUCCACCGUUAUUCUCACAGCCGCGUUUCCCACAGGGCUGCUUUGUAUGGCCUCUUAGAAAAGUCCUGCCUGUCUCCACCAUCCAGACUAUGAUGUCCGUGAGGUCAGAGGAAAGGGAGAAUGUCUCACAUACAGAAAAUGCUUGAUCAACAUUGAUGGAAUCAUAAAUGGGCCUCAGCGGCACCUGUCCUGAGUCAGCAUCUCACAGAGGUUUUGCCAGCGCCAGCCACAUCUCCAGCAUGAAGGUGAUUGUCUGAGUGUGUCCAGUCCAGUUCCUGCCUUAAUAAAAAUCACUGCUGCAAGGGAGAGGGCUGCCAAGGCCCUGCCUCCCUCCAACCCC